rnacentral:rRNA from 2 species
GGACUACUAGGGUAUCUAAUCCUGUUUGCUCCCCACGCUUUCGUGCCUCAGUGUCAGUAUUAGGCCAGGUAGCCGCCUUCGCCACUGGUGUUCCUUCCGAUCUCUACGCAUUUCACCGCUACACCGGAAAUUCCACUACCCUCUCCUAUACUCCAGAACAACAGUCUUAGCUGACUUUCCCAGGUUGAGCCCAGGGAUUUCACAGCUAACUUAUUCUUCCACCUACGCACCCUUUACGCCCAGUAAUUCCGAUUAACGCUUGCACCCUCCGUAUUACCGCGGCUGCUGGCAC